ACAGAUCGUUCAGAGUUUGAUCCUGGCUCAGGAUGAACGCUGGCGGCGUGCCUAAUACAUGCAAGUAGAACGCUGAAGACUUUAGCUUGCUAGAGUUGGAAGAGUUGCGAACGGGUGAGUAACGCGUAGGUAACCUGCCUAUUAGCGGGGGAUAACUAUUGGAAACGAUAGCUAAUACCGCAUAAUAGUGUUUAACACAUGUUAGAGACUUGAAAGAUGCAAUUGCAUCACUAGUAGAUGGACCUGCGUUGUAUUAGCUAGUUGGUGGGGUAACGGCCUACCAAGGCGACGAUACAUAGCCGACCUGAGAGGGUGAUCGGCCACACUGGGACUGAGACACGGCCCAG
rnacentral:rRNA from 1 species